UACGUAGGGUGCAAGCGUUAAUCGGAAUUACUGGGCGUAAAGGGCUCGUAGGCGGCCAACUAAGUCAUACGUGAAAUCCCUCAGCUUAACUGGGGAACUGCGUGUGAUACUGGAUGGCUUGGAUUUGGGAGAGGGAUGCGGAAUUCCAGGUGUAGCGGUGAAAAUGCGUAGAUAUCGGAAGGAACAUCAGUGGCGAAAGCGACUUCCUGGACCAAUACUGACGCUCAUGUGCGAAAGCGUGGGGGAGCAAACAGG
rnacentral:rRNA from 1 species